UACGUAGGGGGCAAGCGUUGUCCGGAACCAUUGGGCGUAAAGAGCGUGUAGGCGGCCAGAUAAGUCCGCUGUGAAAACUCGAGGCUCAACUUCGAGCUGUCGGUGGAAACUAUCUGGCUAGAGUCCGGAAGAGGAGAGUGGAAUUCCUGGUGUAGCGGUGAAAUGCGCAGAUAUCAGAAAGAACACCCGUGGCGAAGGCGGCUCCCUGGUACGGAACUGACGCUGAGACGCGAAAGCGUGGGGAGCGAACAGG
rnacentral:rRNA from 1 species